UACGUAGGGGGCUAGCGUUGUCCGGAAUCAUUGGGCGUAAAGCGCGUGUAGGCGGCCCGGUAAGUCCGCUGUGAAAGUCGGGGGCUCAACCCUCGGAUGGCCGGUGGAUACUGUCGGGCUAGAGUACGGAAGAGGCGAGUGGAAUUCCUGGUGGUAGCGGUGAAAUGCGCAGAGUAUCAAGGAGGAACGACCAGUGGCGAAGGCGGGCUC
rnacentral:rRNA from 1 species